CUCUUUGUGCGGUAAACUCGUGGCUGGUGAGGAUGGCCGUCGCGGAGUUCGCCUGGCUUUUGCUGCGAAACCGUCCCCAAAGGCGGGGGAGGGUGCCGCCCGGCACAUUUGCUUAGCUGCGCACAUGCAGGUACCUCGGGGCCCUGUUCGGUGAAGGGAUCACAGUCUAGGGCUGAGCAGGAUGAACUCCCAUUACAGACUAGAGUUUCUGAUGUCGCUCUGACGCUACUGCUCGGAACUGACCCAGCCCGGGUCAGGGGGGGCUCGUCUAAAGUCGCCGAGUCUUUGCUGGCUCACUUGUUUCUUCCCAGGCCCCUGGUGCUCGAAGGAAGAUCCGCAGCGCGACGAGGGAGUGUAAGAUGUCCACAUCUUAAAUGGCCGCACUCGCCGCGUAAGUCCAGGGCCAAGGAUCGAAGCCCAGCCGCAGAAGCACGGAAUCCUUUAACCUGCAUCAGGCUGGGGAUGGAACCCGCACCUCCGCAGCGACCCCAGCAGCUGCAGUCGUAUUUUUAACACAGUGCGCAAGAGCGGGAACUCCUUAUUUUUGAAUAAGGCCCGAGAGCUCCUUAUCUUUGAAGCCCAGCCAGGGGCUGUCCCUUUCAGAGAUCUGGGCUAGACUGGAAAGAUUCUGGAAGGCCUAAGGUUUGGAAUUCUCUUGAAGAGCUGACAGGAUGACUGUGGUGCCCAUAUAGUGGUUCCUGCCACUUGAACAGGCUGUGAGAAGUGGAGAAGAUGCCUUCAGCUUGGGUUCUGUGAACUUUGCAGACACAAAAGGAUGUCCUCUCUGGUGUUGGACAGAUCUUGGGAGCUUCACAUCUUUCCUGCAUUAACACAUGGGAGCAGCUAUCAACUCUUCCGAGCCAGGCGAACUGCCUAGAAAUUUGGGGACCCUUAAAUAUCAAUUAGGUGGUCUUCACUUCUUUACUUGGUUUUAGCAAAAGGAUUCCAAUAAAAUAUUUAAAAGUAAAUGAAAAAUAGAUUGGUCUUAGGCCAUAGCAACCACCAGAGCCACUGCAGUGACAACACCAGAUCCUUGACCUGCUGCGCCUCAAGGGAAAUCCUGAUAGUUGAGGUUUUUAUGAGACUGUUACAACAGUUAUCCAUUUGGCUUUUGAUGAGUUUGGUGAAAACAUAGAUUGUUCAGAUAUAUUUUGAAAGAAUUCUAUUCCUGGUGGUUGCCAGGGGCUGAGGAGGAGAAAAUGAGCAGUUAUUAAUGGGUUUAGAGUUUCAGUUGCCCAGCAUGAAAAGAAUGCAUGGGGGUGAAAGGUGGUAGUUCCACAAUGUUAUGAAUGUAUCAUCAGUGAAUUGUUUGCUUAAAGUGGUAAAAAUGGUAAGUUUUAUGUUUAUUGCACCCCAAUAAAAAAAUGGGGAAAAUCUCUGUGUUCCUUUUUGUCACUAUCACAAAGGGGGUUCUAAAAUUGGAAUUUCACAGUUCAAGGAAUUGGACAUUGAAGGUGACUUGUGUCAUUUGCUCUAUAAAUUGGUCCCAGC
rnacentral:lncRNA from 1 species